GAUGAACGCUAGCGGAAUGCAUAAUACAUGCAAGUCGAACGGAUGUAGCAAUACAUUAGUGGCGCACGGGUGCGUAACGCGUAUGCAACCUACCUUCAUCAGGGGGAUAACUACCCGAAAGGGUGGCUAACACCGCAUAAUACUAUUGAGUGGCAUCACUUGAUAUUUAAAUCUGAGGAGGAUGAAGAUGGGCAUGCGUCUGAUUAGCUAGUUGGUGUGGUAACGGCGCACCAAGGCGACGAUCAGUAGGGGAACUGAGAGGUUGGUCCCCCACACUGGCACUGGGAUACGGGCCAGACUCCUACGGGAGGCAGCAGUAGGGAAUAUUGGUCAAUGGUGGAAACACUGAACCAGCCAUUCCGCGUGCAGGAAGAAGGGUCUCUGACUUGUAAACUGCUUUAGCAAGGGAAGAAAAAGCUCAUGCGUGAGAAAUUGACGGUACCUUGAGAAUAAGCACCGGCUAACUACGUGCCAGCAGCCGCGGUAAUAC
rnacentral:rRNA from 1 species